rnacentral:tRNA from 1 species
CGGGGAGUAGCGCAGCUGGCUAGCGUGCAACGUUCGGGACGUUGAGGUCGCGGGUUCAAAUCCCGCCUCCCCGA